rnacentral:rRNA from 1 species
UGGCGGCGUGCUUAACACAUGCAAGUCGAACGGUGAAGCAGAGCUUGCUCUGUGGAUCAGUGGCGAACGGGUGAGUAACACGUGAGCAACCUGCCCCUGACUCUGGGAUAAGCGCUGGAAACGGCGUCUAAUACUGGAUAUGAGCUGCGAUCGCAUGGUCAGCAGUUGGAAAGAUUUUUCGGUCUGGGAUGGGCUCACGGCCUAUCAGCUUGUUGGUGAGGUAAUGGCUCACCAAGGCGUCGACGGGUAGCCGGCCUGAGAGGGUGACCGGCCACACUGGGACUGAGACACGGCCCAGACUCCUACGGGAGGCAGCAGUGGGGAAUAUUGCACAAUGGGCGAAAGCCUGAUGCAGCAACGCCGCGUGAGGGAUGACGGCCUUCGGGUUGUAAACCUCUUUUAGCAGGGAAGAAGCGAAAGUGACGGUACCUGCAGAAAAAGCGCCGGCUAACUACGUGCCAGCAGCCGCGGUAAUACGUAGGGCG